GGUGGCGGCCGCCGCCUUUCAUAGCGGGCGGGCGGUGACGUGCGGCGGGCGGGCUGUGCUGUGGGGACGUGCCCGCAGACACGUCGGGGUGGAGAGACUCGGGCGGGAGGAGGAGGGGGCAGGAGCAGCGGGAAGGAGAUGGGGAGCAGGGGAGGGUGAAGGGCGGCGAGCGCCCGGCGCCCUGGGGCGGCUGAGGCGGGGCUGAGGAGCGCUCUGUUAUUCACCGCGAUGAGUGAAAGCAAACUCUCCGGCUCUGGAGAAUCUGUGCGGAAUUCAAGGCAUUCCUGCCCUCGUUUGCCGCCCGGCAGUGCCUGCCAGCCCUGUAUUCCUCCUCAGGGGUUUAUGGCGGUAGUUCCGGAUGGGGCCUCUUGUCGUGUGGCUGGAAACCAGCUUCUAAUUUCCAUCUAAGUCAAUAGAUGUUUGUGGGUUUUUUUGUUUGCUUCCCCUUUCCGUGUAUUUGCAUAUCCAAUUCCCCCUCAUUUGUUGCGUUAGGUUAUAUAAGCCCUUUUCAGCCCUGCAUGGGCAUACAAGGUUCCCUGGCCAUCGGGAUGUGUGUUUUGCGGGACUUUCUCGGUUUAAAUGCUUUUUAAAGGCUUUUUCUCCUGAGAGGGGCUGCUGCAUGGAGUGUCAGGCAGCGAUGCCUCAAACACAGCACGAAUGUUUUCCCGGAGUUGGUGGAAAUUCCAUGACUGGACUCACACUGGUCUGUUUGAGUCACACCAUGCUGACAGUUUCCUGUCACCCUGUGCUUGGUUAGUCAAGCCAAAUCCUUCUCCCCUUCACUUACUUCUUGCUCGGACUCCCAGCAAAAAGCAAAAUCAAUUUUUAUAAAAUUUAUUUCCUCAUUGCCUUCAAUUUUAUACUAUACUCUUCUGUGGAUCAUCCUACAAAACUGGCUUUUAGCAAAUCCACACUACCUUUUAUCCCUGUAUUAUUCAUUGAAUAUGAUGUUUUCAGUUAGAUUCUCCUUUGCAAGUUUUUCUGAGGAGCUGCAUACACAUCAAAAUCACAGCCCAAACUUGCCUCCACCAUGGCUUACUUCUUAGAACUUGCUGUUCUCUGGUCCUGUGGUAAUGCCUUCAAGUAGGCAAAUUCACUUAAAAUCUUUUUGAUUUGUGCAUGCCAGGGUUCUGGAAUUGAGAAUGCCUGGUUCCUCCAGCUGGAAAGCAGCAGACUCGGCAUCCUGUCUUUACACCAUGGAUUAUCAUGUUCAUCCUUACUGAAAAUCAGCAGUAACUGCUCAGGAGGAAAGCAGUCAUCUGGCAUGAUUGACAUGGCUUUUCUGCCUCAGAGAGCUUCAAUGAGAGAAGGCUCAGAACAGCACAAACAGAACGAAGUCCUGGCUCACGACAGACUGAGUCAAAUCUGAUGUUGCUGCAGGGGUGAGUAAGGACACCAAACCAGGACCUGCAGGUUUGCUGUGUGACCUACAGCUCAGCUGGGAGGUUAUCAGUAAACCAAAGCUACUGGGGAUGCUGACCAGCCCUGGAAAGGAAAUGAAUUUUUCAUGAAAGCAUGAGUCACCGUGCAGGAUUCCAAGCCAAACCCACUCCCUUGAUGGAACUCUGGAAUCUUACUCAUUUACUGAGGCGCUGCAGAAAAUGGGAUGCUCUGAUAAUUGACAUGCACUUAACGACACAAUACUGCCUCUUGUUUGGACAGAGACAUUCUUCUAGCAUUUCAGACCUUAUUUAUCUGGGUGAUGCUCUGUGUGAUAGCACAUUAUGCAUUCUCUCCCAGCCAAAAAUCACUGUGUCCAAACUUUCAUUUCUGUGAAUCAGAAUUUCAAGUUACAUUGCUGGAAAGUCGGCAUCCUAUGAGGAAGAAGUUGCUGGGCCAUACCAACCACUGCAGAAAGCUGAGUACUUCUCAACAUUACAGACAUUUGGUGGAGGAACCUACAGAUGAUUAUAUAAAAAAUGAUUAUUCCUUUGGAGGAGGAAGAUGAAGUUUAACUUGUAGUUCAACAGAUGCAGCAAUAGAAUGGAGAUAGGCAACCAGGUGCUUUCAUUUCAGUUCCCACAACUGGGCCACCCCUGAGAUUUCUUAAAGAGCUGCAGCUGGGCUGGCUGAGCCCAAGGGUAGCAGUCCUGAGGGCUGAUUUUGGUUUGUCUUGCAGACCUCAACUCUUCUGCUCUUCUCAGAGGUGAAAAAUAACUUCACUGUUUCUGCACAAGGUAUUCUUUUAAAUAUUUGGUUUUGUGGUGGUGAUGGUUGUUGGCAGCUCUGUAGGUGGAUACAGAGCCCUUGGCAAAAGACAUGGCUGUGACAUGCAGGUAUGGUCCUGAGAGGUUACCAGGCAGGGUUUUAAAUGCCAACUGUAUCCUAUGUACUGCUAGCAGAGCCCUGUAUGUGUGUUCAAAGUCUGGUUCAAAGAGUGAUUUCUUAUUCUUUCCAGGAAAGGGUUGCUUAGUAGUCUUAAUUACCUUCCACACCUUUUUAAUUUUAAGUGCCUGUGUUAACUGAAACAUGGUAUGUUGUACCAUUAUUCAGUACUAAAGGUCUGAACUAUGGCAGUGAUUCCAAAGAAAAGUAAAGAUAGGGAGAGAGAGGUACAGCCUCAAGAAAGGAAAUAGUCUUUUGACCUGGCUUCAUUAUGCAGCUGUAGUGAGAUCAUUAAUGCACCAAGCUGGAUAUCUCUGUUGGGAGCACAACUUUGCAGCACGAGCAUUGUAAAGACACAAAGCAGAAAGAGCUCAUCAGCUGAAGAGCCAGAAUGAACCAGGAGAGUGAAAGUAGAAGCAGAGUAAAGCAGAAUAAUUGCCAAAUAUGGCUCUUGGCUUGGCAUGCUGGGUUUUCCAAGAACAUUGCGAAAAUACCAACCCUCAUCUCCAUCGAUUAAUUCAGGGGUUUUAUUUGUAUUCAAGUUUUAAAUAGAAAAUGAAAGGUUGCAGCUUGCCUAUGGACUGCCAAUGAAUCGUUUU